rnacentral:misc_RNA from 1 species
GAGUCUGGGGUAUCAAUGAUAGUUCCAAUCAAAGACAACAACAGUAAAAAUGCGUGGGUUUUCUUAAAGCCUCUGACAUGGGAUCUUUGGGUGACAAGCUUCUGUUUCUUCGUUUUCAUUGGAUUUGUGGUCUGGGUUCUUGAACACAGAGUAAAUGAAGACUUUAGAGGACCUCCUUCACAUCAAGUUGGCACUAGCUUCUGGUUUUCCUUCUCAACCAUGGUUUUUGCCCAUCGGGAAACCGUUGUCAGCAACCUGGCAAGAACAGUAGUAAUCAUAUGGUGUUUCGUAGUAUUGAUUCUCACACAAAGCUACACCGCCAGUUUAACCAGUCUUCUCACUGUCCAGCAGCUCCUGCCCACUGUAACUGAUGUAAAUCAGCUGAUAAAAAAAUGGACUCUAUGUGGGCUACCUGGAGGGUUCUUUUGUUUUGGGACUCUUGAAAGGCUUGGGCUUUGAUGAAUCCAAGCUCAAGGUGUAUAGUUCUACCGAUGAAUGCGACGAACUUUUCUCCAAAGGAAGUGGAAAUGGUGGCAUUGCCGCUGCUUUUGACGAAGUGCCGUACAUGAAGCUGUUUCUUGCACAAUAUUGCUCCAAGUACACAAUGAUUGAACCCACAUUUAAGACGGCUGGAUUCGGAUUUGCCUUCCCUAAAGGAUCUCCCCUAGUACCUGACGUGUCAAGAGCAAUCUUGAAUGUAACAGGAGAUAAAAUGAAGGAAAUUGAGCAAGCAUGGUUUGGCAAACAAAGAAAUUGCCCAGAUCCAAGCACCUCUGUUUCUUCUAAUAGCCUUAGUCUCCAAAGUUUCUGGGGUUUAUUUUUAAUAGCUGGAAUAGUUUCUGUUUCAGCUCUCAUGAUAUUCACAGCCAUGUUUGUCUACGACCAGACGCAAGCCUUGAUGCCCUCCGAUUCAAAAGCGUCAG